rnacentral:rRNA from 1 species
GACGAACCGUGCGAACGUUGUUCGGAAUCACUGGGCUUAAAGCGCGCGUAGGCGGCUUUGUAAGUUAGAGGUGAAAGCCCGGAGCUCAACUCCGGAACUGCCUUUAAGACUGCAUCGCUAGAAUUGUGGAGAGGUGAGUGGAAUUCCGAGUGUAGAGGUGAAAUUCGUAGAUAUUCGGAAGAACACCAGUGGCGAAGGCGACUCACUGGACACAUAUUGACGCUGAGGUGCGAAAGCGUGGGGAGCAAACAGG